rnacentral:rRNA from 1 species
AGUGAACGCUGGCGGUAGGCCUAACACAUGCAAGUCGAACGGCAGCACAGUAAGAGCUUGCUCUUACUGGUGGCGAGUGGCGGACGGGUGAGGAAUACAUCGGAAUCUACUUUUUCGUGGGGGAUAACGUAGGGAAACUUACGCUAAUACCUCAUACGACCUACGGGUGAAAGCAGGGGAUCUUCGGACCUUGCGCGAUUGAAUGAGCCGAUGUCGGAUUAGCUAGUUGGCGGGGUAAAGGCCCACCAAGGCGACGAUCCGUAGCUGGUCUGAGAGGAUGAUCAGCCACACUGGAACUGAGACACGGUCCAGACUCCUACGGGAGGCAGCAGUGGGGAAUAUUGGACAAUGGGAGCAAGCCUGAUCCAGCCAUACCGCGUGGGUGAAGAAGGCAUUCGGGUUGUAAAGCCCUUUUGUUGGGAAAGAAAAGCAGAAGGUUAAUACCCCGCUGUUCUGACGGUACCCAAAGAAUAAGCACCGGCUAACUUCGUG